rnacentral:tRNA from 1 species
AUUUAUAUAGUUUAAAUAAAACUUUACAUUUUCAAUGUAAAAAUAUAAAUUUUAUGUUUUUUAUAAAUA